rnacentral:rRNA from 1 species
UACGGAGGAUGCAAGCGUUAUCCGGAAUUAUUGGGCGUAAAGCGUCCGUAGGUGGUUGAGUAAGUCUGCUGUUAAAGCGUGGAGCUUAACUCCAUAUCGGCAGUGGAAACUACUUUACUUGAGUGCGGUAGAGGUCAGGGGAAUUCCCAGUGUAGCGGUGAAAUGCGUAGAUAUUGGGAAGAACACCGGUGUCGAAAGCGCCUGACUGGGCCUGCACUGACACUGAGGGACGAAAGCUAGGUGAGCGAAAGGG